AGCAGUGGGGAAUUUUGGACAAUGGGCGAAAGCCUGAUCCAGCAAUGCCGCGUGUGUGAAGAAGGCCUUCGGGUUGUAAAGCACUUUUGUCCGGAAAGAAAUCCUUGGCUCUAAUACAGUCGGGGGAUGACGGUACCGGAAGAAUAAGCACCGGCUAACUACGUGCCAGCAGCCGCGGUAAUACGUAGGGUGCGAGCGUUAAUCGGAAUUACUGGGCGUAAAGCGUGCGCAGGCGGUUUGCUAAGACCGAUGUGAAAUCCCCGGGCUCAACCUGGGAACUGCAUUGGUGACUGGCAGGCUAGAGUAUGGCAGAGGGGGGUAGAAUUCCACGUGUAGCAGUGAAAUGCGUAGAGAUGUGGAGGAAUACCGAUGGCGAAGGCAGCCCCCUGGGCCAAUACUGACGCUCAUGCACGAAAGCGUGGGGAGCAAACAGGAUUAGAUACCCUGGUAGUCCACGCCCUAAACGAUGUCAACUAGUUGUUGGGGAUUCAUUUCCUUAGUAACGUAGCUAACGCG
rnacentral:rRNA from 2 species